CAUGCCAUAGUGAGUUUUAAAAUAAAACUAGAAGAGGAUCAAACGGUUGGUUGGUUUCAUCGUGGGAGAAAACUCACAGGAGAACUACCAGUUACUCUUUCCAGGAGGUCAUCAGCUGCAAGGUUACAAAAGGAUGACUCGAAAUAUCUUGAAAUAGCGAUCAUUCUUAUCGAAUAUUUGAUGACCGUUGCUUAGUUUUCCUUGGGCAUUGCCAUACGUCAGUGAAUCUGAAAAGUUUUGGCAAUUUGGGGUGUCAGUGUAUGGAUGCAUAAUAGUGAGUGUUUUUGUCCUUUUAGGUUGAGUGAUGAUCUGUGAUAGAUAAUAGUGGUGGGCAUGCUUUAUUAGUUAGGUGUUUACUGAUAAUGUUGGAAGAUGAGCAGAGUUCUAGACUGAGGUCCAACUUGAAUGCUUGAAUUGAAGAGUAGGAUAUUAGCAAUCAAGCUUAAUUAGAUAAUUUAUUUACGCUCCUUCAGUUGUAAAUUUUGGAGCUGUGCUUUUGCGGUUUAAGGUGCUUACUAAAAACA